rnacentral:misc_RNA from 1 species
UGGUUCUGGCAUCGAUGAAGAACGCAGCGAAAUGCGAUAAGUAAUGUGAAUUGCAGAAUUCAGUGAAUCAUCGAAUCUUUGAACGCACAUUGCGCCCUCUGGUAUUCCGGGGGGCAUGCCUGUUCGAGCGUCAUUACACCCCUCAAGCUCUGCUUGGUGUUGGGCAUCACCAUCCUCGGUGUGCCCUAAAAUCAGUGGCGGUGGCAUCUGGCUUCCAGCGUAGUAAUAGCCCUCGCUUUGGAGCUUUGGUGUGCGCUUGCCAUCAACCCACCACUUCAAAGGUUGACCUCGGAUCAGGUAGGGAUACCCGCUGA